AAAUUGAAGAGUUUGAUCAUGGCUCAGAUUGAACGCUGGCGGCAGGCCUAACACAUGCAAGUCGAACGGUAACAGGAAGCAGCUUGCUGCUUCGCUGACGAGUGGCGGACGGGUGAGUAAUGUCUGGGAAACUGCCUGAUGGAGGGGGAUAACUACUGGAAACGGUAGCUAAUACCGCAUAAUGUCGCAAGACCAAAGAGGGGGACCUUCGGGCCUCUUGCCAUCGGAUGUGCCCGG
rnacentral:rRNA from 1 species